rnacentral:misc_RNA from 1 species
GAACUGCGAUACGUAAUGCGAAUUGCAGAUUUCAGUGAAUCAUCGAAUUUUUGAACGCAAAUGGCGGUUCUGUGGCUUGCCACAGGACCACGCCCCUUUCAGUGUCGGUCCAUAACAUUACUUGAGCUAUGACACCUGAUAACAAGGGUGACUCGCUUUAAAUUCAGCAUCAUCCGAAGUACCUAAACUCGGUGCACUGUGCUUGUUACAGAGUUUCCUACGCUUCGCUCAUUGAUAAUCGACGGUGAUUCGUCAAAUUUUGGUGGGUGGCGGGUUACUCGCUAGUAAAUCUUGUACUUUGCAGCUAUCCGUAACCAGGGAACGGUUGAGGGACAUCGUCUUUGCUGACUGACACAACUGUGUCAGCGGGCGGACACUACACGUAUAAUCUGACCUGAAA